CCCACCUUCUGCCACUCAGCCGACCAACAUGCUGCCAGAGACUGCGGGGACAGUGACGUCUGCCUUUCCUUCCUUUCCCUCCCUUCCCCGCCCCAAUCUUUCCAAGGAAGCAGCUGGCCAGGACUUAGUCAGUAUCUACUGAAACCUUGAAUAUCUUGGCUGUGUUAACUGUUUUGACCCAACAUGGAGCGAAAAUGUUGGUUGUACCUUGAGAUUCUGACAUCUGGUUGAAGUCCAGGUUCACUGGCCCAGGACAGGUCAUUCAGCUGUUUGAAAAAAAACAGAAGAGAGACCAGGCCAUCCACUGAGGUAAUCUCCAUGCAGCAUGAACCACUGGUUCCAAUGAACCCACCAUCACCAUACUUCUCAGGAAUCGCUGGUCACUAGACUGAGAGUUCUGUGAAAGCUGAGAUCAUAUCUUACUAAUCUCUGUGUUCAUGGUUCCCAGCUCAGGGUCUAGCACUGAGGGAGUUCUCAGGAGAGUGUUCAUCAAUUAUUGAAUAAAAGCGAUUGCAAACCUCCU
ensembl:lncRNA novel transcript